rnacentral:lncRNA from 1 species
CAACUUGUGCCGCCCGUAAGAAGUCUAGGCACUUGGCCCUAGACAUGUCGUGGCGCUUUAUCUUAGGAUCAUAAUCCAUGCGCACCCUGGGGGAUUGGCUUAGGACAUGUCUUGUCCCUCGCCCAAGACUGAGCAUCGCUCUCGCGUGCACAGCCCAAUCCUCAAGCUUGACACUCGCCUAGUGCAUCCGCAACUAGCUCGUGCCUCGCCCGAGUAAGGCAACCUUUAGUCCUUGGCCAUUGUCAUGUGCGUCUUUCGUGACAUGCCCAUACAUAGCCCUCGCGACACGCUUCCAUCUUGAAUAGUGCAAUGUUGUCCCACAACUGCACGUUUAGGCCAUCGGACCCUUGCUUGCAUGGUUGAACCCAAGCCAUGCUCACAAGUCGACACAUGAUGCCUCUAAGAUAGGUGCGUCAAGUAUCCAAUCGGCACAGAGGUCUCCUUCCAACAUUCGGCAGCCCGCGGGGAUGGCCGUCCCACACAUCGAGCCUCCAUCGCCACUUUGGUGCCCAACGCUAGCCCGAAGGCAUCGCGCCGUCAAUAGAGUUUCCAAACUCGUAUGGAUACCUAGGACACUCCUUUGAGUCAUCCACGUAGGCCCUUGAGGUCGCCCCCAAGGUAGCUCGUUCGAUACAGCUUGGUGGCAGCACGUAUGGGGGAGGCAGGUUGGAGCUUUCAUCACCUAUACCCCCCUUAUAUAUGCUUAAAAUUAAAAAGCCCAAGUUGCCCGAGUAGACAAAUCUACGUCAGACAAUCAAAAGAGCCUUUUUUCACCAGUUCUUUGCAGAAGUCACAACCCCAAUGUGUGGGUUGUGACAUCCUCCCACACUCAUAAUGUCAUUGUCCCCGAUGACACAUCAUGGACUACGACAUCCCGGAGUCUACCCCCUCAGGUAUGUACUUCGCGGCUCCCUUGGUCCUGUGGGUUGGACUUCCUCGAAGUCCUUUCUCAAAAGGAGUCGUGCCCCAUGCACUUCUCUCCCAANNNNNNNNNNNNNNNNNNNNNNNNNUCUGGUGUCUAACUUUGUAGUUGACCCACACUAGUCAACUACAUCAUGGCCCUCACAGCCUUCAUGUCUGUCUGAAGCUUUCCCUUCACAGGUAAGCACAUCAACGUGCUCUUUGGCGCGGCUCUAGUAGCUCAAUCGCUCACAUAGCCUUCAAACGCCCUCUAGCAUAGCUCCCGUAGCUUUUCCUUGCCCUCACUACCUUGAAGUUGUGUUGGCUUCCGGACUCACAACUUUGCCCAUAUGCCUCUUGCAUAGGCGGGAUCCUCCCACACUCAAUGUGGAGGAUACUUCUUAGCGUUGUCGUCCCACUCGGCAUUCAGCCAGCUCUUGGGACGACUCUUGGUGAGUACUACAUUCUCAAAGUCAUAACAUCGCUGCAUUCCUGAACAAAGCUCUUUGUUUUCCAACUGUCACCUCCUCAGCAAGUACCCAAUGCUCCCGGUAAUACUUCAAUACUCGCCCUAUAGACAGGUACUCUCUUGGUCCUGCUAGCACGGCUUCCUGGUUCGGUGUGCCUCGCACUUGGACUCUCAACGGUCCCCGAUAAUUCGGCGUACCCCUUUCCAGAAUGAUGACAUCUCCCAACUUGGAAAUUCGCCCAAUUCUGAAGCUUCGCUAUACCCUCAAAUUCGUUUCCUCACCUUAGCAAUGCCCUCAGGCAGUCCAAAAGUCUAACCACGUAGGAAAGACAUUCAACUGAUGCAUUACACGUAUCCUUGGCAAUCCGCUAUGAUCAUGCCCAAAGUUUAUAGUUCACGGCUCCCACUCUUUUAAAAUAUGGUUGCACGACCUGGCAAAUAUGGCCUUCUCUUGACCAUCGGACUCAUCGGCAUAUUACCAUAUUCAGUAAUGACCUAGACUUCCGAAAGACAAUGGAAUCACCCAUUUCUUUCUUUGACCAGCAGUAUCGGGUUCUCGAUCUCUGGUGGCAUAUGAACAUCAAUCUCUGCUUUGACAUGAUCUCCGCACUGACAUCCAAUAUGCACUCGCCAUAUCCACCCUUGCCUUGACAUUGUGCCAUGGCAUAGUAUGGCCUUAAUCAGCCCUGAUACCACGUGUCACAGGCUGACUUCCUUACGCUCGCUAGCGGCACCGAUUCGCCCGUGCGGCGCCUGCAGUUUCCCUCACUGCAGGCCAGCCUAUUUCCUUUCCCAGGUUUUCAAGCACGAUCAUCUGUAUGUUGGUGGAACUCGCCCAUAGGGCUCGCCCCAACUUAUGUCGCCGGUAAGAUGUCUAGGCACUUGGCCUUAGACAUGUCGUAACGCUUCAUCUUAGGAUCAUAAUCCAUGCUCGCUCUGGGGGAUUGGCUUAGGACAUGUCUUGUCCCUCUCCCAAGACUGAGCAUCGCUCUCGCGUGCACAACCUAAUCCUCAAGCUUGACACUCGCCUAGUGCAUCCGCAACUAGCUCGUGCCUCGCCCGAGUAAGGCAACCUUUAGUCCUUGGCCAUUGUCAUGCG